rnacentral:rRNA from 1 species
AGAGUUUGAUCCUGGCUCAGAUUGAACGCUAGCGGAAUGCCUUACACAUGCAAGUCGAACGGCAGCACGGACUUCGGUCUGGUGGCGAGUGGCGAACGGGUGAGUAAUGCAUCGGAACGUGCCCAGUAGCGGGGGAUAACUACGCGAAAGCGUAGCUAAUACCGCAUACGCCCUACGGGGGAAAGGGGGGGAUCGUAAGACCUCUCACUAUUGGAGCGGCCGAUGUCGGAUUAGCUAGUUGGUGGGGUAAAGGCUCACCAAGGCGACGAUCCGUAGCUGGUUUGAGAGGACGACCAGCCACACUGGGACUGAGACACGGCCCAGACUCCUACGGGAGGCAGCAGUGGGGAAUUUUGGACAAUGGGGGAAACCCUGAUCCAGCCAUUCCGCGUGUGCGAUGAAGGCCUUCGGGUUGUAAAGCACUUUUGGCAGGAAAGAAAUCGGUCGGGUUAAUACCCUGACCGGAUGACGGUACCUGCAGAAUAAGCACCGGCUAACUACGUGCCAGCCGCCGCGGUAAUUC